rnacentral:rRNA from 1 species
UACAGAGGGGGCAAGCGUUUGUUCGGAAUUACUGGGCGUAAAGGGCGCGUAGGCGGCCUUCUAAGUCGAACGUGAAAUCCCCGGGCUCAACCCGGGAACUGCGUCCGAUACUGGAAGGCUUGAAUCCGGGAAGAGGGAUGCGGAAUUCCAGGUGUAGCGGUGAAAUGCGUAGAUAUCUGGAGGAACACCGGUGGCGAAGGCGGCAUCCUGGACCGGCAUUGACGCGUGAGGCGCGAAAGCCAGGGGAGCAAAGCGGGAUUAAGAAACCCGGGGU